GCCAUCUUAGCUCAACGGUAGAGCAACGGUAUCGUAAACCGUAGGUUGUGGGUUCAAGUCCCACAGAUGGCU
rnacentral:tRNA from 1 species